rnacentral:rRNA from 1 species
CCUACGGGAGGCAGCAGUGAGGAAUAUUGGUCAAUGGGAGAGAUCCUGAACCAGCCAAGCCGCGUGAGGGAAGACGGCCCUAUGGGUUGUAAACCUCUUUUGUCGGAGAACAAAACCCGGGACGUGUCCCGGACUGCGUGUAUCCGAAGAAAAAGCAUCGGCUAACUCCGUGCCAGCAGCCGCGGUAAUACGGAGGAUGCGAGCGUUAUCCGGAUUUAUUGGGUUUAAAGGGUGCGCAGGCGGAUUUUUAAGUCAGCGGUCAAAUCGUGGGGCUCAACCCCAUCCAGCCGUUGAAACUGGGGAUCUAGAGUGUGCGAGAGGUAUGCGGAAUGCGUGGUGUAGCGGUGAAAUGCAUAGAUAUCACGCAGAACCCCGAUUGCGAAGGCAGCAUACCGGUGCACAACUGACGCUCAGGCACGAAAGCGUGGGUAUCGAACAGGAUUAGAUACCCCUGUAGUC